rnacentral:rRNA from 1 species
CCUACGGGAGGCAGCAGUGGGGAAUCUUGCGCAAUGGGGGCAACCCUGACGCAGCCAUGCCGCGUGAAUGAUGAAGGCCUUAGGGUUGUAAAGUUCUUUUGCCCGUGACGAUGAUGACGGUAACGGGAGAAUAAGCUCCGGCUAACUUCGUGCCAGCAGCCGCGGUAAUACGAAGGGGGCUAGCGUUGUUCGGAAUUACUGGGCGUAAAGCGCGCGCAGGCGGUUCGAUAAGUUAGGGGUGAAAUCCCUGGGCUCAACCCAGGAAUGGCCUUUAAGACUGUCGAGCUAGAGGACGAGAGAGGUGAGUGGAAUUCCCAGUGUAGAGGUGAAAUUCGUAGAUAUUGGGAAGAACACCGGUGGCGAAGGCGGCUCACUGGCUCGUUUCUGACGCUGAGGCGCGAAAGCGUGGGGAGCAAACAGGAUUAGAUACCCUGGUAGUCCACGCCCUAAACGAUGAGUGCCAGGUGUCGGGAAGCUUAGCUUCUCGGCGCCGCAGCUAACGCCUUAAGCACUCCGCCUGGGGAGUACGGCCGCAAGGUUAAAACUACAAAGAAUUGACGG